GAGGAUUUAGCUCAGGGCACAGUGCCUGCCUGGCAAGCAUGAGGUCCUGAGUUCGAUUCUCGGUAACCCCU
rnacentral:tRNA from 1 species